GACAGAGGGGGCAAGCGUUGCUCGGAAUUACUGGGCGUAAAGGGCUCGUAGGUGGCCAACUAAGUCAGACGUGAAAUCCCUCGGCUUAACCGGGGAACUGCGUCUGAUACUGGAUGGCUUGAAUCCGGGAGAGGGAUGCGGAAUUCCAGGUGUAGCGGUGAAAUGCGUAGAUAUCUGGAGGAACACCGAUGGCGAAGGCAGGUCUCUGGGCCACUACUGACGCUGAGAAGCGAAAGCAUGGGGAGCGAACAGG
rnacentral:rRNA from 1 species